AUUCACUUGGGAAACACAUAAAAAGUUCGUAAAAUAUGAAAAAAUGAAAAAAAAAACUCAGACUCUGUUUUCACUCUCUCCAAGAAUCACAGUGAAUUAGUCAUUGGAUGACAAAUAAAAACAAAUAUCCAAAGUUAUAAACAAUUCGUUGUGGUUUUAAAAAUAUCAUAUACAGUUCUGAAAAUAGGGUUCACCCAUUAAAAUGACGUCAUAUUACAAAAAUUUGUAUUUGGAACGAAUAUUAUACGUAGACAUUCAUCGGAUUUUUUUUUAUUCCGAUGUCGUGUUGUCAGCAGAAUGAAAUUUUGAACGGUUAUCACCAGAGAAAAGAAGUAAAUAAAAGAAAAUACCAUAAACAACGACGAACUGCGAAUUAAGGUGGUGUUUAUGUAAUCAAUUGAAAAAUGUUAUCAACAAUAUAAGGACGAAUUAAUAAGUGCAGAUAUAAAAAGAGCGGACAGAUUAUGAUAUCGCGUUGAAUUAUUCGUUGGCAAAAUAGUCAAAAUAAGAAAUUUUCUGACAACAGUCGACGAGAAGUGGCGGAAUUGUUGUUUUCAUUCGAGAGAGAAAGUGUUAACCGCAUCGAACGAAAGCCGAAUCGAUCUGAUUGUACGACAUCGUGUGCAGAUAAAAUAUAAAUGUUAAAAACAAAACGGUGAAAAUAUUGGAUGUUCCAAUAAUUCAAUCACAAGAAGAAAAAAAAAACAAGAUAUAGCUAGUGGAAGUGAACACUAAAUUGAACAAAUUGAAAACUAAAUGUGCAUUUAAAAUGUGGCGAAUAAAUUUACAAGCAUUUACAGUCGUACUGAUUGCUGUACUUCAAGUACAAGCAUUGGUUCAUUCGCCUCCCAGAAUAAUUAAACAGCCGCCAACCGACGAGUUACUGUAUCAAGUGGCUCAGCAACAGAACGAAAACGACAAACCAUUUUUGAUUGAAUGCGAAGCCGAAGGAGAACCGGCACCAAAAUACCGAUGGAUAAAGAACGGCAAAAAAUUCGAUUGGCAAGCAUAUGAUGAUCGUAUGUCACAGCAGCCGGGUCGUGGUACGAUUGUCAUAACCCGUCCACGAGAUGAAGAUUUGGGUCAAUAUCAAUGUUUUGCUGAGAACGAACAUGGUACCGCCACAUCGAAUUCCGUAUUCGUGCGCAAAGCCGAACUCAAUACCUUCAAAGAUGAACAACCAAAAACGGUCACGGCCAACGAAGGUGAUCCAUUUAAAUUGCAAUGUCAACCGCCCGAUGGUUGGCCCAAGCCCAAUGUAUAUUGGUUGAUCCAAAAUACAGAUGGUGGCAUUAAGAGUAUCAAUAAUUCCCGCAUGACACUUGAUCCCGAAGGAAAUUUGCAUUUCUCAAAUGUGACACGUUACGAUGCAUCCGAUGACUUUUACUAUGCUUGUGCAGCUACCUCAGUAUUUCGUAAUGAAUAUAAAUUGGGUAAUCGAAUUCUUUUGGAUGUCGUACAAACGGGUAUUUCGCCAACACAAAAUCGAUACCAACCAACGUUGCAAUAUGUUACUCGUAAAAAUGAGGUAGCGUUACGUGGUAAAAAGGUGGAAUUGUAUUGCAUAUACGGUGGGACACCGUUGCCGCAAACCGUAUGGAGCAAAGACGGGAAAUCGAUACAUUGGAACGAUCGAAUAACGCAGGGCAACUAUGGAAAAUCGUUGAUUAUUCGGCAUGCAACAUUCGAAGACGCAGGAUCAUACACGUGCGAAGCGUCAAACGGUGUUGGCAAUGCACAAACCUAUUCGAUCAACUUGAAAGUGAAUGCAGUGCCAUACUUUACGGUUGAACCGGAAAUUCAAAAUGCGGCCGAAGACGAAAGUGUUGAGUUCCGUUGCGAAGCAUCUGGUGUACCAGAGCCAGAAAUUAAAUGGAUUUACAAUGGUAAACCGAUCGCAGAAUCUGCAUCAAAUCCACGACGAGUUGUUAAAACCAAUAGCAUUGUCCUCAAAGGCUUGAAGUCAAGCGAUACCGGCAAUUACGGUUGUAACGCAACCAAUUCAUUGGGUUAUGUGUACAAGGAUGUAUACUUAAAUGUUUUGGCUUUGCCACCCGAAAUCACCGAACCACCACGUAAGGAAGCCACCGUUGAUCGUCGUACGGUUACGUUGCGCUGUCGCGUCUUUGGUGCUCCAGCUCCAGAAGUUAAAUGGAUUCGAAAUGGAUUGGAAUUGACUGGUGGUCGGUAUCAAACACAGUCGAAUGGUGAUUUAGUUAUUCAAGAUGUGAGCUUUGCUGAUGCCGGCGAGUACACGUGUCAUGCGCACAAUAAAUUGGGCGAUGCUGAAGCAAGUGGCUCAUUGAUUGUGAAAGAGCACACUAAAAUCACAGACGAACCACAGGAUUAUGAAGUGGCCGCAGGAAAUCCGGCCACAUUCCGUUGUAACGCCGUUGCCGAUUCAUCCUUGGACUUGGACAUCAAGUGGCUUAGCGAUAGUGAGGAGAUUGACUUUGAGAAUGAACCACGUUUCGUUCGCACUAAUGACAACUCGUUGACUAUUUCAAAAACGGCUGAACUUGAUUCGGGUAUUUACACCUGUGUCGCAUCAACUGAAUUGGAUGAAGCACGUGCAUCGGCCACAUUGAUCGUUCAAGACGUUCCGAAUGCACCUCAUUUAACUGGUAUAAGCUGUCGUGCUCGUGAAGCGUACAUCUCAUGGGAACCACUUGGUGACAAUCGUGCUCCAAUUUUGCACUAUACCAUUGAAUACAACACAUCGUUCACGCCAGAAACUUGGAACGUUGCCUAUGACAAAGUUCCCGCCACCGAUUUCACGUACAACGUUCCAAUGAGCCCAUGGGCAAAUUAUACAUUCCGUGUCAUUGCAUUCAAUAAAAUCGGCCCAUCACUGCCAAGCGGACACAGUGAAGCAUGCACAACACAAGCAGAUGUGCCUUUCAAGAAUCCAGACGAUGUCAAAGGCGAAGGCACCACACCAACCAAUAUGGUGAUUUCAUGGACGCACAUGCCACAAAUUGAACACAAUGGCCCCGGUUUUCACUAUCGUGUGUCAUGGAAACGUGAUAUUCCAGCCGAAGAAUUUACCAAUGAAGACAUUUACGAUUGGAAACAGGAUAAACUCGUUAUUCUCGAUCAGCCAACAUUCGUACGGUAUCGCAUAAAAGUGUUGGCCAUCAAUCAGAAUGGUGCAUCGAAUACGGCAGCAAUUGAAAAAUUCGGAUACUCGGGUGAAGAUCGUCCAACGCAAGCACCAACCAAUUUCACUUUGGUUCAGGUGACCGGCAGUACAUCAGCUAUUUUGAGCUGGAACCCAGUACCACCCGAGAGCAUCAAUGGUCAUUUCAAGGGGUACAAAAUACAAACUUGGACUGAACUUGAUGGUGAAGAGAAUAUGCGAGAGAUUCACGUCAAAGGAGAUACCACACAAGCGUUGGUCAGCAAAUUCCGUCCGGAUGCUAUAAACUAUGCGCGUGUUUUAGCAUUCAACAGUCGUUACCAUGGACCAGCUAGUGCAAUUGUUGAUUUCAAAACGCCCGAAGGCGUUCCAAGCAGCGUACAAUCAUUCGAAGCAUUCCCAUUGGGCUCGUCAGCAUUUUUGUUGCGAUGGAAACGACCAUUGCAGCCCAAUGGACAAUUGACCGGUUAUAAAGUCUAUUACGAAGAAGUCUCCGGAACUGCCGUCCUAGAUAAACUGGAACGAGAACCACAUAUUACCGAUCCACGAGUUACACAAGUGAAAUUGGCCGGUUUGAAACCAAACACGAAAUAUCGUCUACAUAUUGUGGGAACAACAAAAGCCGGCGAAGGGGAAGAUUACUUCAUCGAAGAAAAAACAUUGUCCGGAGAUUCUUAUCCGCCAGAUGCGCCAGAUUUCGUGUGGGACCAAUUACCAUCCGAAAAUGGAUUUGCGACGAUCAGAGUGAACUGGCGUCCAAAUGUAAGCGGCAAACCAGGAACACAUUUCUUUGCAAAGUAUCGUAUUAAGGGUGAAUCCGUCUGGUUGAGCACCGAUUAUGAGCUCGACAAUGAUUACACCAUUAUUCGAGGCUUGCAGCCAGACGAAACCUACGAAUUUAUUGUAAUUUCUGUUGAUGGCGAACAUUUGGCGGAGAGUCAAAUUCAAGAUGUUCCCACCGUUGGCAUUGAUGGUCCAAAUAAAGUACCGAGCGAAGAUUUAGCCGCCGCCGGAUGGUUGAUCGGAAUGUUGUUGGCUAUUGCAUUGUUGUUGCUAUUGCUCAUCAUUGUAUGCAUUAUUAAGCGGAACCGUGGUGGCAAAUACGAUGUUUAUGAUCGUGAAUUGGCAAAUGGUCGACGCGACUAUCCAGAAGAGGGUGGCUUCCAUGAAUAUUCACAGCCAUUGGACAAUAAGAGCGCUGGUCGACAGUCGAUUGCAUCGAAUCUUAUGAAAGCCGACGAUGAAGUGGAUGAUGGUGACUCGAUGGCUGCGUAUGGAGAAGGCGAAACAGGCAUGAACGAAGACGGUUCGUUUAUUGGACAGUACGGACGGAAGGGACGAAAUCAAGAAUCAAAUUCACAAGCAUUUGCAACGCUUGUGUAGACGAAAUUUUUUACAAUAUUUUCACACACACUAGUAAAAUAGUUUUCAAAUGACGAUAUAAGAGAAUAUGACAAAACAUUUUUUUUUGUGGUAAACGAGAGAAAGACGAAACAGAAGAAGAAAAUGCGAUAUUUUUUAAUUUGUAAAACAUCUAUAAUUGGUUGCUCCAUUGUCAUUUUUCAACCAAACAAAAAAACAUACCAUCCAAUAUAUUGCACCUCCAAAAUUUGAAGAGUAAUAAGAAUAAAUUCCAAGUGGGCCAAUUUGCUGAGGAUGGCUCAUUUAUUGGUCAAUAUGUGCCGGGAAAAUUACAGCCACCGGUAAGUCCACCAUCAACACAUCAGCUGCAAACCGUAUCAUCGAAGCCACAAUUGCCAAAUGGUAAUGGAAAUAUUGCACCAAAUAGUGGUGCAAUCGCAACAUACGUCUAAAACAAACAUUUAAAAUACGCUUUUCAUCAUUCAAAACGCAACAAGCAUUCACAACAACAACAGACAGACAAAACAAAACAAAAAACACUCGAUGAUAAUGUUAUAGAACAAAAUAUGUUGAAGAAAGAUAAUAAGUUUUCAAAAAAAGAUACGUUAUUAAAACGUGUUCAAUAAUUCAUGACAAAUUUCACAUCAGAUGUUCCUGUUACAUAACAAACAAUACAAAGAAACUGAAACAAGAGAAAACAAACGACUAAAAUGUAAAUGAAUAUCGCAAUAUUUGCUCUCAUCCCAAGAUGUGAUGGAAUAGAAUACACUAUGCAGCUAAAACACAUACGUCUACUUAUUAACCGCUUAACCCCGUUAGUUUCGUUGCACCUAAUCAAAUUUCAAUGCAGCUAAUCUUUUUUGGAACUCGCAACUCUUUUUUUUAUAUUGUAGAAAAAUAUUUUUGUUAUUGCCAACAAUGAAAAGCUAAUAUUAGUAUUAUAAAAGAUGAAUGUAGACCAAUGAAUUGCUUUUUGAAGAAGACGAGAAAAAAAACAGAAACCAAAAUGCACAACACAAUCGGUAUAUAAAGAAAACUGAGAAAACAUUGAGUAGAAAAAAUUAUUGAAUUUUUUGUUUUCUUUUUUUUUUUAAAUUGUAUUUUGCAAUAUAAUUCAAUUAUAUUUUUUUCCUUUUUUUUGAUUUAAUGGGACAAUCGAAUGAGCUGAUAUUUUGAUCAGAAUAAAGAAUCUCUACAUGACAAACAUUUUUUUAGCCUUACAUUUUUGGUUUAAGUUUAACUGUUUUCAAUCUGUCGAAAAUCAAUCAUUUUUUGGCAGCUUAUAGGCCAGCUAUCACUUGUCAAUGAAUAAAUACCAACGUUUCUUUGUUCACGAAAUAGUGACAUUUCUUGUGACGACACGUACAUCACACACUCUUCGUGUCUUAAAAAAAAAUUGUAACGAUACAUCUCGAAUUGUCCAACGCACGGACUGAGCUCGAAGCAUUUCUGUCAUGUUUUGACAAAUCCCAUCAACCAAUUAACGAAUUGAAAAACGAAAACUAUGAAAAUAAUUAUUAUGGAAUCGAGCUUUUAUUACAUUUAAGAAAUAUGUCUUUCUAAUUUGUUUCUGCGUUCUCAUAGAAAUAAAAUGAAAAUUCGUCGGGAUCUACAUCAAAAUGCAUUUCAUCGAGCACAUUACUUCCGCAUCUAAGUUCAGUUCAAUUCGUUUCUUUUUUCAAUCAAUUCUCAGAACUUUCAAUGAAACCGAAUUAUUCUAUAAAUGCCAACCGCGUCUCAGUUCGUCAUCUUUUUUUAUACGUUUUAUUUUAAAUUUUCAUUUUUUUAAGCGUAUACAGAAUUUGAAGAAGAAAAAAAAACAACACAAAUAAACUUUAUUGAAUUUAAAGGCUUAUGUAUGUUAUAAAACACGGAUACAAUUGAAGCGAACUCCAUUUUGAAAUGCAUCGUGAACUUAAAAUUAAGCUGUAAGCAAAUGAAGAAAAUUACAACAUUUUGGCAAAAUCAUUACACGAUUCAUUGAUAAUUUGUCGCACAUUUUGUAUCCAAUUAAUUUCACAUCCCGAUUAUAGCCGCAACGCAAAUCAUGUCCAUCAGAUCAACAAUUCCCUUUUUUUACAAAGACUUUGUAUAAAAUAUGAUAAACUUGUAAAUAGUUUUCAAUUGAACAAAAACAAUCAUUUAGACAUUUUUUUUUCGAAAUUUGAAAUACAUUCAAAAUGAGACAAGUUUUGCUUUUGGUUUUAACACACAAGUGGAAGUGAACGCAAGAAAAUCAGAGAGAAAAAAAUGCAUUUUUUUUUGUUUAAGAAUGGAAAUAAAAUGUAUUUAUUUUAA